CUUCUACACUGAGUGCCAGAUUUGCCCGUGGAGAGUUUGAUGGUUAUCUACUCGGAGACAGAGGGUACCCCUGCCAGCGCUAUCUGCUGACCCCUUACCCUGACCCUGACCCUGGCCCACAGCGACACUACAACUUGGCUCACUGCAGGACACAAGCCAGAGUGGAGAUGACCAUCGGCAUACUCAAGGCCUGGUUCCAGUGACUUCGUAGCCUCAGGGUCACCCCGGAAAGGGCUUGUGACAUUAUAGUGGCAUGUGUGGUUCUCCACAACAUAGCCACCAUUAGAGGAGAACAAUGUCCUACUCUUUCCCCCAAUGGUCCUGAUAAUAAUCCUGACCCCCCUGCUGAUGCACGAGAUGGAAGAGCUGUUAGAGUGAUGAUAUGCUUCAAUCAUUUCUAACUGACCCAUCACCUCCCCAGUGUCAAAGAACGACAAUAUGCCUCAUUUUAUGGGGUCUUCUUUAUUUCCUAGAAGGGCAAAUGUUGUACAGUUGUUAAUCCUUUGUUGUUGAAACAAUUAAAAAACAUCCCCCUGUGGGCACGUCACCCACCUUUAA